rnacentral:rRNA from 1 species
UUGAACGCUGGCGGCAUGCCUUACACAUGCAAGUCGAACGGUAACAGGUCUUCGGAUGCUGACGAGUGGCGAACGGGUGAGUAAUGUAUCGGAACGUACCCUGUCGUGGGGGAUAACACAGCGAAAGCUGUGCUAAUACCGCAUACGACCUGAGGGUGAAAGCGGGGGAUCGCAAGACCUCGCGCGAUAGGAGCGGCCGAUAUCGGAUUAGCUUGUUGGUGAGGUAAAGGCUCACCAAGGCGACGAUCCGUAGCUGGUCUGGGAGGACGACCAGCCACACUGGAACUGAGACACGGUCCAGACUCCUACGGGAGGCAGCAGUGGGGAAUUUUGGACAAUGGGGGCAACCCUGAUCCAGCCAUUCCGCGUGAGUGAAGAAGGCCUUCGGGUUGUAAAGCUCUUUCAGCAGGAACGAAACGGUGGCCACUAAUACUGGCUACUAAUGACGGUACCUGAAGAAGAAGCACCGGCUAACUACGU